AUCGAACGCUGGCGGCAGGCCUAACACAUGCAAGUCGAACGAGUGGCGGACGGGUGAGUAAUGUCUGGGAAACUGCCUGAUGGAGGGGGAUAACUACUGGAAACGGUAGCUAAUACCGCAUACCAUCAGAUGUGCCCAGAUGGGAUUAGCUAGUUGGUGGGGUAACGGCUCACCAAGGCGACGAUCCCUAGAUGGUCUGAGAGGAUGACCAGCCACACUGGAGCGUGGACACGGUCCAGACUCCUACGGGAGGCAGCAGUGGGGAAUAUUGCACAAUGGGCGCAAGCCUGAGGCAGCGAUGCGGCGUGUAUUAAGAAGGCCUUCGGGUUGUAAAGUACUUUCAGCGGGGAGGCGUUACCCGCAGAAGAAGCACCGGCUAACUCCGUGCCAGCCGCCGCGGUAAUUC
rnacentral:rRNA from 1 species